GUGGGAAGCGCACGGCCGCAAAUCCGACUGCGCCAUCCGCUCUUUGGGGUGGCUUGGGAUUGCGGAAGUGC
rfam:Natrinema versiforme JCM 10478 contig_12, whole genome shotgun sequence.